rnacentral:rRNA from 1 species
GGAGGUAGUGACAAUAAAUCACAAUGCGGGACUGUUAGUCUUGCAAUUGGAUUGAGAACAACGUACAACUCUUAUCGAUAAGCCAUUGGAGGGCAAGUCUGGUGCCAGCAGCCGCGGUAAUUCCAGCUCCAAUAGCGUAUAUUAACGUUGUUGCAGUUAAAAAGCUCGUAGUUGAAGUGAGGGAGUGUGUAGUAGGACCGACUUGAUCGGAACUGCUGCAACCUCCCCCCUCCAAUCGGUGUAGUGGGGUAUUCACUUAUUCUACUACUCCUUUGGUCGUUUACUGUGAGAAAAUUAGAGUGUUCAAAGCGGGCGUUUGUUUGAAUAGAUUAGCAUGGAAUAAUGAUUGAAGGCUUUCGUGUUCGAUUUGAUUGGUUUGUUCAUGGAAGCAAGGUUAAAAGGAACAGUUGGGGGUAUUCAUAUUCACUAGUUAGAGGUGAAAUUCUCGGAUUUAUGGAAGAUGAACAAGUGCGAAAGCA